rnacentral:rRNA from 1 species
AUGUCAUUUGCUGGCAUAUCUCUCAUCAGUGAUGGCAAAGCUGCCAUCGGCCAGUCCAUCGACGUCGCCACAGCCAGCGGGUACCACCUGCUUGUGGUUAAUGGCUACUCGCGUAUCAAUGCCACUACACCUAACGGCAUGAAGAUCCUCUCUCUCGCUUUCAUGGUAGGAGGCCAUCGUUGGUGCAUAUGGUUCUAUCCUAAUGGCGACCGCGGGAGUGCCGACUCAAUAUCUCUCUUUCUGCACCUUAUUGAUGAGAAUGUUGCAGAGGUUCUGAAGGUGCAGUAUGAAUUUAGUUUCAUUGACGAGCUUCAGUAUCAAGAUUCAGCAUUUAUUCGUGCAAGAAAGCCAGACAUUUUCUCCAGCAGUAAACCAUCUUGGGGUUACAAGUCUUUCACGAAAAGAGAUGUCCUUGAGAAAUCAAAGCACUUAAAGGACGACUGUUUCACCAUCCGAUGUGACCUCUCCAUUGCCACGACCAUUGAUCUCUUCAUCAAGGUACCGCCUUCUGGCAUACAACAAGAUAUCAGUGACCUCUUCCUGUCCAAGGAGGGCACAGACGUGAGGUUCAUGGUGUCUGGUGAGAAGUUCGCGGCCCAUCGGUGUGUGCUUGCAGCUCGGUCUGCGGUCUUCAAGACAGAGCUGUUUGGCCCCAUGAAGGAGAGCACAGUAGCAAGUGUCAUAGAUGUAGAAGACAUGGAAGCAAAGGUAUUUAGCGCCUUGCUUGAAUUUAUUUACACCGACACGCUACCUGAUAUGGAGAUAGACAUGGGGGAGGAGGAAGGGGGAGCCCAAGAAGCAUUGUUUUUGCAGCACUUGCUUGCAGCGGCGGAUAGGUACGAUCUCCAAAGGCUGAAGGCACUAUGUGAAGAAAAGCUAUGCGAACACAUAGGUGUUGUCUCAGUGACGACUAUCCUUGCUCUGGCUGAGCAGCACAGCUGUUCUGGAUUGAAGGAGGUUUGCUUUGAGUUCAUCAAGACACCUGCUAAUUUGAAAGCGAUAACGCUGGCUGAUGGCUUGGAGGGCAUAACUAGAACCUGUCCCUCUCUUCUAAAGGAGCUCAUUGCUAAGUUUGCUUCCUAA